UUCAAUAUAGCUAUUUGAUAGUUUCUUUUGCUAGAUUCUUUUUUUGCACAGUUUGCUAUUGUAAGUUUGUAACUUUGGGACAAAGCAAGAAAAUUCAUCUGGAGAUUGCCAAGCAAAAGGAAAUUCAUCUUGAUGUAUGCAAUGCUGUUUUUAUUUUUAUUCAAUUAUAGUUUAAUAGCCAUCACCGGAGGGACAAGAGGUGAAGAUAUUAGGUGUUCAGUUGGUCUGAUGAUCUGGGUCUGUGAUUCUUAGUUGUAGUUCUAUUGGCCUGGCUUUGUUUGUUAGGGAUGCAUGGAGUUGGUGUAGGCAACUGGUACUUGAUAUUCUUGGUUGUAUGCAAUGCUGUUCAGCUCUUUGCUAUUGCUCUCUUGUGCCCGAUAUGAACUUAAAUUGUGAUUUGAAGUUGGUGCAGGCAACUGUUACUUGAUCUGUUCGAUCACAUAACUUUUGUCUCCUUAUAUUGAGUAAGUUACAGAGUGAUGUUUUGAGGGAAGCAAUCUCUCAGAUUGCAAAUGAUUCUUAGGAGAAGAAGCGCAAUUUUACUGAAACCAUUGAGCUACAAAUUGGUCUGAAAAACUAUGACCCCC